AGACGGGACCCGCACAAGCGGUGGAUGAUGUGGAUUAAUUCGAUGCAACGCGAAAACCUUACCUACCCUUGACAUGUCUGGAACCUUGCUGAGAGGCGAGGGUGCCUUCGGAGCCAGAACACAGGUGCUGCAUGGCUGUCGUCAGCUCGUGUCGUGAGAUGUUGGGUUAAGUCCCGCAACGAGCGCAACCCUUAUCCCUAGUUGCCAUCAGGUAAAGCUGGGAACUCUGGGGAGACUGCCGGUGAUAAACCGGAGGAAGGCGGGGAUGACGUCAAGUCCUCAUGGCCCUUAUGGGUAGGGCUUCACACGUCAUACAAUGGUCGGUACAGAGGGUUGCCAAGCCGCGAGGUGGAGCCAAUCCCAGAAAGCCGAUCGUAGUCCGGAUUGUUCUCUGCAACUCGAGAGCAUGAAGUCGGAAUCGCUAGUAAUCGCGGAUCAGCAUGUCGCGGUGAAUACGUUCCCGGGUCUU
rnacentral:rRNA from 1 species